UGUAAGCGUAUACCAAAGUUGUUGCAGUUAAAACGCUCGUAGUCGGAAUUUGGCAGUUCCGGAAGUGUGCACGUCGUGUGCGCACUUUGCGGGGACUGCUUUUGUGGUCUUGCGUAGGAUGAGGCACUUUCAUUAGUGAACGUCCUCACGCAACCACUCUUUACUGUGAGAAUAUCAGAGUGCUCAAAGCAGGCAUUUGCCGUGAAUGUAUUAGCAUGGAAUAAUAGAAUAGGACUCGGUUCUAUUUUGUUGGUUUGUUGGGACUGAGUAAUGAUUAAGAGGGACAGUUGGGGGCAUUUGUAUUCCGGCGCUAGAGGUGAAAUUCUUAGAUUGCCGGAAGACAAACUGCUGCGAAAGCGUCUGCCAAGGAUGUUUUCAUUGA
rnacentral:rRNA from 1 species